UACGUAGGGGGCAAGCGUUGUCCGGAUUUAUUGGGCGUAAAGAGCGUGUAGGCGGUUUGGUAGGCCCGUUGUGAAAACUCGAGGCUCAACCUCGAGACGCCGAUGGAAACCAUUCAGACUAGAGUCCGGAAGAGGAGAGUGGAAUUCCUGGUGUAGCGGUGAAAUGCGCAGAUAUCAGGAAGAACACCCGUGGCUAAGGCGGCUCUCUAGUACGGUACUG
rnacentral:rRNA from 1 species